CAGAGUGUGUGUGAACUAAUUCGAAAUAUUCAUAGUCUGAAAUAUUUUUCAUCAUAAUUCAUGUUGUUCACGUGUAAACAAGAAAUUUUGAUACAUUAUUUUUCAAAACACUAGUCAUUAAGUGUAAUAUUUUUUGCAUCGCACUUUUAGACUUGUUACGUAUUCACGUUUUAUGUUGUAUAACUACUAAUAGUUUAAUGAUGUUAUUAAUACCUUAAAUUCGUGCUAGAGCUAUUAGUAUUAGUAUAGAGUAUUAGUAAUACUAAUACUAGUUAUUACAGUGUGCAGUAGGAAUCUCGCUGUUAAUGUUACAGUGAAAGUAGUAUGGCUAUUAAGUAGUACUAGUAGUAUUACUAUUACUACUUUAUAAUGACAUAAGUUGUUGGACAGAAAAUACGAUAAUCAGUAUCUUUCCUCGGUUCCUGUUUUAAUGUAAGUGAAACCAAGACUGAAAACAGUAUUGACAAGAAUUUUAUACAAAGUAGAAACAUUCUCACUUUUGACACGGUAAAACCUAAGCAGGAGGAUUUAAAAUUUGGAAAAUAAUAUGAAUAUCCUUUUCAUCAACAACCCAAUAUAUCUCAAUUAAUCUAGAAAGAUAUCCAUCAGAAUCUGAUAGUGAAACUCCUUAUGAUCUAUUUUCAUUUCAAGUAAUUAAUAAGGUAAACAGUUGCAGGGUUUAAUUUUGGUAUAGUCAUGGGUGUAAGGAUAUACUAUUACUAUUAGAGCUUUUGUAUUAAAUACAAUGAUUAUUACAGGCAAAGCUUAAUGCUCCUUUAACUUUAUUUUUUGAUAUUUUACUGAAGUACUGACAUUGUGUCAUUGUUAUGUUGUAGGUGAUAAAUCACAGUUCAUAAUCAUACAAGUUCUACUUGUAGAGAAAAAUUUUAUAAUUAAGUGGUAGAUAUUUGUCAUGUAGCUAUUAUAGUAAUAUUUUGAUAGGUAAAAGAUUCGGCUUGCACUGUUACAGGUGAAAAAUGAACAUUUAGUAUUUAGAAGUAAAGACAUUACUUUUUGGCAUCAAUAAAAAAUAGAUGAGAGGUACUUAAAUCAACUGUGCAAGACAACUUAAAAAUUUGAUUGCUUAACAUAUGUAAAGUAUAUUUUCAUGCUUGGUUUCUAAUUCUAUGCAUAAGCAUGAAGUUCAAAGAUUAACUUUUACAUUUUGUCCCAAAUUUACCAAGUCAAAAUAUUGGUAGAUAAUGUGACUUGAUUAAUUAUUUAAUAUAUAAUAGUGAAGUCGUAUAUCAUAUUGACUCGCAAAGAGCAUGACAGUGUUUGUGUAUAUAAUGAGUUUUAGUAUUAAUUGAUAGUUGAUACAUAAUCAAGGUAAGCAACACACUAUCCACAGUUAAUUGCACAAGUGAAAUUUUUAGUUCAAAUUCUGUAGUUAUCUAAAAGUAAAUAUAUCUAUCAUAGGCUUUUAUCAUUUCUUCUAUCAAACUGAUUACAGAUAUUUAAACGACUUGAAGAGCAAGAAAGUUUUAUUGAAAUCUAAUACCUAAAACUGUUACUAUAACCUUGAAUAUUUUCCUCUAAUCAAAGAUAGUGUUGGUUUGUUUUGAAAUAUUUUUGCAAAACUGCACAAAAACUUACGUAUUUAUCAUUCCUCUAACAAAGUGUGUGUGAACUAAUUUAGUACACAACAUAAUACUAAAUAUACUUCCUUAUAACUGGUAAGUGCAUUUACUUCCUUUACCUCUGCAAUAUGUUUUAUGUGUUUAGCCCUUAAGUGUUGUAGAUUAGCAGUAGUUUUGAGUACAUUAUAGUCCUGUGUGGUUCCCAACUAUAAUCAUAAGGUAUGAUUUGAAUUUUAGAAUUAAAACCUUGGAUAUUCUCCGUCUGUACUGUUUUCAAGCAAAUUAUUCUUUAGUCGUGCCUACCAGUCAUAUAGUUGUUCAAAUCAUUUUAAUAAAACAAGGCUUGGCAUUAUUAACAUGUGGUUUAUUGAAACAUGUAUAUGGUUUAAGAGCAGUGAUUUCUGGGUCAAGUGUCCUUCUGUCACUCACUUCAUUCUUAUGUUUUUAUUUUAAAAAAUGAAAAAUAACACAUUCUCAUUAUCAAAAUUCACCAUCAGUAAGAUUUGAUCAGUCUUUUUCUUUUUGAAUUGUUCUUCAUUACUUUAAAAUAAAACUUGAUCUUUUUUUGCCUCAUUUUAGUCCAGCUGUACUGUUGAAAAGUGAUAUUUUCCAAAGCAGAGAAACAAAAGAUGUACCAAGUUUUUAUAUAUCCUUUUUAUCAUUAUGAGUUUGUUGAAAAAGUAACAAAACUACUUUUACUCCUGGUAGUGUAAUAAAGCAAGAAGCAUGUUCCAGUUUCAAUACUCCCAAAACAUUAGACAUUUCAGAAGAAUGGGGUGUGGAAGAAUGUUAAAAAUGAUUGGUGUUUUCCAGAUUAUUGCUGGCAUCAUUGUAAGUAUAAUUGCCUAUCAAGAAACUUUCUCUUCAUACAACAACUCUCCUGUUGAAGAUGAUGCAGAACCAGAGAAAAUAAUUGGACCAGUGAUUGUUUUUCUAGGGCUUCUAGCAACAUUAUCAGGAAUUUGGCUGUUUGUAUCAGCAAAACAAACACUACUAUUGGAAAGUCAACAACGACAACUACAAAACCAGCUGUCAAGUACAAAUCCACAGCAUCCUCAAGUUUCUGAUAGUAGACCUGCUCAGUCAUACCUUCAAUCACAAGUUGUAUAUUCUUCGACUGGUCAACUAAACCAACCUUUACAUGGAACUGAUAACACUUAUCCUCCCAGUGGACAACCAAACCAACAACCUUUCAUUGGAAGUGGAACUACAUUCCCUGCCUAUGAACCUUCCAGUCUACCUUUCUUUGGAACUGUAAAUACUUACUCUUCCACUCAUUGUUUCCCGCACCAGAUACCACCACCUUGUUUAAUUUCAGGAUAUUCUCCAGCUUAUAAUGGAAGGAACCAGCAGCAACUUUAUAGUCAAAGACAAUUCCCAUUUAUUCCUUCUGGUUCUGACUCAGCACCAAUAUAUGCUGUUUGAAAAUUGUUAUUCAUGAAAAAAAAUAGUUUCAUUUACUAAGCCUUAAACAAUAUUAAACACUGACUUUAAUUUAUAUAUCUAUAUAUAUAUAGCUUGGAAAGACUUUAUUUUAUUUACAUUCCACUUUUGAAUGUUAACGUCUACAGUUUAGUUUGUUUUAAUAUUUAUGGAGGUGCAAAGGUUGUUAAUUUAUCAAAAAGAAUGGAAGGUAAGUAAUUGCAAGAUAAAUUUCUAAAGUAUGAACAAGAUUGAAGAUGUGUGUAUGAUAUACUAAUGGGAGUGUUAAACUUCUGUUGAGCCUUAAGUGAUAGACGUUCUGUGAUAAUAAUUAUUAUGUGAUGUUACUUGUAUAAAAAAAACAACAAUACAUUUUAUUCUUAAUUGUAGUUAGUUUUCUCUGUUAUUUUGUAUUUUCUUAAGUUCACGUACAGCAUCAGUACAUUGAGUGUAGAUACAGUAAGAUUGUGCUAUCCUGAAAAUAAAGCUAAGAUUCUGUACAAAUACUAAAAAUAAUUUAUGUAGCUCUACUAAAUUAUAAUAACUGCAUGAAAAAUCACACAAGAUUACUUUGAAAAUGUUAGUUUUAAUGAAAUAAAUCAUUGUUUGAUAUAUUACUUUACAUACUUCUAUUAAUCUCAUUUGUUUGAAGACUCACAGUUAUGUAAUGUUAUUUUUUUGUAGUUAAUAUCAAACCAGUAGGCAAUACAUCAUCUUAAAUAGAUGUAGCUGUGGUUUAAAUGCCAGUAUUGAAUCAGCUUGUAUAACCAGUAGACAAUACAUCAUCUUAAAUAGAUUUAGCUGUGGUUUAAAUGCUAUUAUUAAAUCAGCUUGUGUAACCAGUAGGCAAUACAUCAUCUUAAAUAGAUUUAGCUGUGAUUUAAAUGCCAGUAUUAAAUCAGCUUAUAUUGCAUUAAGGCAUACUCUGUAAUUUUUUCUGUGGUGUAACUACCACUGUGAUAGCAGCUUGUAUUCUAUUGAAAUACAUGAUACAUUCUCAUUCGUAAAUAAAAUACCAUUUUUAGAUGUC